UACGUAGGGUGCGAGCGUUAAUCGGAAUUACUGGGCGUAAAGCGUGCGCAGGCGGUUUUGUAAGCCAGAUGUGAAAGCCCCGGGCUUAACCUGGGAAUGGCAUUUGGGACUGCAAGGCUGGAGUGUGGCAGAGGAGACUGGAAUUCCUGGUGUAGCAGUGAAAUGCGUAGAUAUGCGGAGGAACACCGAUGGCGAAGGCAAUCCCCUGGACCUGUACUGACGCUCAUGCACGAAAGCGUGGGGAGCAAACAGG
rnacentral:rRNA from 1 species